UAAAGAUUAACGUGGUCGCUUGGCUUUACCCGAUACUCGGAGGAUAACCAUAAGACACCCAAUGGAUUAUCAACACACUGCAACAACGGUUUAAAAAGAACCUACGUAUAUUGCAAGUAGUUUUUGUACGGUUAACUGUAAUGAAGAUUAGAAGAACUUUGAGAAUAGAUACAAUUAUUCUUGCUACUCUACUUGGUGUAGUUAGCAGUUUAUACAUUUGGGCACCAAUAUUGCAAGAAUUAAAUAUUCGUAGUGAAAAACAAAAACAGUCUAAUACAGAAAGUAUCAACGAUGAUGAUACCUGGGAAAAUGAUUAAAUUUGGAAUCGGGUUUAUAGGAAUAUAUCUUUCUAUCAUAGGAAUCAAAUUAAAAUUAAUACCGUAUGUAAAUAACAAGAGACUAAAAGAAUCUGAAGAAUUUGCUAAUAUAAUAUAUAGAAGUGAGUCUAAAUAAUACAUUGUUGUAUUAGUAUACAUGUAUAUAUAUUAGAGCAAAUAACUUCGUCAUUAAAUGACUUCACAAAUUUGCAAUACAAUUAUUACAUCUAUAUAGCAGAUAUUAAAUAACAAUACAUUUUAUUCAU
rnacentral:lncRNA from 1 species